rnacentral:lncRNA from 1 species
CUGGUGAAGCAGAAUUCCCUUUGAGGUAGUUACAAAUUCUAACCCAAGGAAAUAAGCUAGAGUACCAAGGUCUACCAUGUCAAAUUCUUGCAUUAUUUGUGCCUUAAAGAACUCAAUACCCUUUAAAUCAUUGCCUGCUACUAGUAGAUCAUCUACAUACAAGCAAAUCAAAAUCACACUUGUAUCCUUCUUCACAUAAACACCAUAGUCAACUGAACAUUUCUAGAAUCCACUCUGAAUCAAGAAUGUGUCAAUCCUUCUAUUCCACUCCCAGGGAGCUUGCUUUAGGCCAUACAAUGCUUGUUAAGCCUAUACACUUUGUCUUCCAUUCCUUCAUUCACAAAGCCUGGUGGUUGAGUCACAAAAAUAGAUUCCUGAUGUGCCAUUAUUUUCUCCUAUUUCUUAACCCUUUUUUGCACCAUUUUAAAUACUGAUUAGUCUUAAUUGUCAAAUUAAUUAGGCAGUUUUAUUAUUUGGGCCCAUUCAGCUAAUUUGAUGUUUUUAAUCUAAUUUCAGGAAUUAAUGAAGCAUUGGGCUUGAAUCCAGAAUUGGGCUUGGACUUGAAGAGGGCAGACUAUUUUACUCUACAAAAUUAGAUCAUAUCUUAUCUUAUCUAGAUAUUAUUUAGAUUUGAUCUCAUCUAGAUAUUAUUUUAUCUAGAUCUUAUCUUAUCUUAUCUAGAUUUGAUUUUAUUUUAUUUAUGGGCUUGGAUUUAAAACAGAUUUGUAUGCUUUGGGACUGGAAAACUAUAUAACAGCACCAAGAUUCUAGUUUAGCUCUAUCUCUCUUCUCUUUCUCCUUUUUUUCGUUUUUGCAAUUCCAGUUCUGACUUUUCGUUUUAGCAAUAAAUUUUUUUUCUUCAAUCUAUAAUUUCGUUCUCUAUUGAUUAAUGGAAGGCUAAGUCCCCAGCGUUGUUUUCUCUUGAGGAUCAAGCACAGUUCUCUUUGAGGUUCUAUUUUUACUGUUAA